UACGUAGGGUGCAAGCGUUAAUCGGAAUUACUGGGCGUAAAGCGUGCGCAGGCGGCUUUGCAAGACAGAUGUGAAAUCCCCGGGCUUAACCUGGGAACUGCAUUUGUGACUGCAAGGCUGGAGUGCGGCAGAGGGGGAUGGAAUUCCGCGUGUAGCAGUGAAAUGCGUAGAUAUGCGGAGGAACACCGAUGGCGAAGGCAAUCCCCUGGGCCUGCACUGACGCUGAUGCGCGAAAGCCAGGGGAGCGAACGGG
rnacentral:rRNA from 1 species